rnacentral:rRNA from 1 species
UACGUAGGGUGCGAGCGUUGUCCGGAAUUACUGGGCGUAAAGAGCUCGUAGGCGGUUUGUCGCGUCUGCCGUGAAAGUCCGGGGCUCAACUCCGGAUCUGCGGUGGGUACGGGCAGACUAGAGUGAUGUAGGGGGAGAGUGGAAUUUCGUGUGUAGGGGGUGAAAUCCGUAGAUCUACGAAAGGAACGCCAAAAAGCGAAGGCAGCUCUCUGGGUCCCUACCGAGCUGGGGUGCGAAAGCAUGGGGGAGCGAACAGGAU